rnacentral:other from 1 species
GAUACCCUGCGGGGUGCGUGAUAGGUCUUUUUUUAACCCACAUUUCGUUAUAAGGGAUGCCAGAUCAGUUCGUGGUUCGCAGGCCUCCCGGCUGCCGUCUGCGGCUGGAAGUUGGAAGCGAUAAAGCGCGCUGGAGGCAACCCACCUGGCCGUGAAGGUGCAGGUUAUAACGAGCCCUACACGGCCGCCGCGGGGUGUCU